CACUAGCCAGAUGAAGCUAGCUGACUGCUUAUAACGUUAGCUUUGGGCUAGAGGGUUAAGUAGUUGGCUAGCUAACUGAAGUUCAAUUUAAAUAAGCGAAGAACAUGCUAGCUAAUACUUACUCACAAGGAUUCCUAAAUAAUUGCUAAGAAUGAUGAAAAUGACUGUAGUUUCUACUGGUCUUUGUUUUCAGGCUGGUUGUAUUGAUGUUAGCUAGGUAACUUUACCAAGCUAAUGCUAGAACGUUUCCAAUAGGAUCUCGCUAGCUCGUGCUUGGCUCUGCCCACUAUGACUCAUUUGUUCCCAUUGGAAACGACAUGUAGCGGUCUAACUUGGUUUGUCUUUGUGUAACCCUUAUACAAAUGUUAACUUUCAACUUCAAUGGGGGUGGGGACAUCCCUAGGAUUCCGAUUAACACGGACCCUGAAAGAAGGAAAAGAAGUGACGUCGGGUAAAAUUAAAAGGGAGUAAUAUCCGGCAUUCUGUAUUAUACCAUCAAUAUUUGGUCUCUGUAAACGGAUAGUUUUUCCUGUGUGUAUUUCAUCAAACUUCCUCAAUACACACAAGUCCAUACAUGGUGCAAUCGCAUUGGGCCAAAUCACAAAUUCACCCCCCUUCUGAAGAUGAGAUGCUGCAUGCUAAAUUGGUACCCUAAAAAUAAAUAUUAGUUAGGUAGCUACCUCGUCUCUCUACUUUUAGAAAGGAGCUAACUAUGACUCUUAAAUAUAAUCUACUCAACUCUAUACUGAGCGUAUUUCCGUUAGUUUGUAUAGUUUUAAUAUUAUUUACUUGUAACUUUCAGUUUUGUCAAGCUAGUGAAGUCAGACCUGAAAAACGUCUUGUUUGGGGUCCAGGGCUAGACCCUAAAGUCGUUUUGCCCGUUCGAUCCAGGCUGUCAACUCAGCUGGGGAAAACUUCUCUCCGGGUAGACUCGUUCAGAAGCAGCAUGUCCGCAUCCACACCCACCUUCCCCUGGAAAGAGGCGAUGGUUCCUUUCUGAUGAGGAAUUCUCAAUUGGCCACGGAGGGGAGAGUGACCAAACUCAGCAUGCAUCCACAGAAAUGCAGAAGAAGGCCACGCUAGCUAAAGGUGCUAGCAAUAUCAUCUACUGCGGAAAAUGAUGUUCUGCCUCCUACGGAAGGUGAGCCUGUGUAUUUCUAAGUUGCCAGUGAUGCCUCAAACAAGGGAAAUAGAAAAAUGUUUCCAGCGUGCGUGAGAUAUUUCUGUGUCUGAUGGAGUGCAGUUCAAGUUACUUGACUUUUAUGAAGACAGUGAUGAAACUACAAAUGGCAUACAUCAAGCUCUGAUGAACUGUCUGGAAAAUCAUGAACUUGAUAUUAGACACUUCACAGCCUAUGCAGCAGAUAAUACCAAUGUCAACUGUGGAAUACACCACUCCGUUUACCAGUUAUUGAGCAGUGACAACAAUCGCAUUCUGAAAGCUAAUUGCCCAACUCGCAUAACUCAUAAUGCCUUUUGCCAUCCCGAUUGAAACUAUGAAUAUACACUGUUUAUUCAUUCCCAUAACACCAUACCCACACUGCCGUGUGACCGUGCACUGGCACGCCACCUUUUGUCCCUUAUUUGGUAGUGAGAAAGUUGGCAACCCUAAUUCAGCCUCAUUUACUGCCUUUAAAAAAACAUAGCUGAUAUGGCUGAUUUGCUUAAACAAAUGUGGUUUUUACUGACAAUUGAGAUGUACAAACUAUGGCAUAAGGUGGGGGGGCGAGUAGAUAAGAGGCAAUCAGUAAUUUCGAUUGACAUUAAUGAGCGAGCUAGGACGGACAUAGUCAAUAUAAAUAUUUUUUCAGACUUCAGUGUCUUCCCCUCCAUUGACCUGCAGCGCCUCCUACAGGAGGUUCCCUGUCGGUUCUCCAACAGAGGAGGUCUCAUUCACUAUGCUGUAAUCGACAACCAGGUCGCUGUUCCCUGGGAAAAUGCAUUGACUUCAAGAUAAUAAAAAAAUGUCACCUUAAUUUUAUUAGGUCUCUGAUGAAAUGUUCCUCUCACUAUGCAGGAAGGUAAAACGUUGCUUUGUCUUUUUUGUGUCAUUGUAUGUGUUCACUAUUAUUUAUAGGUGAGUUUGUGUGUGCUGGUCUCUGUCCUUUCAUCAAUAAGUAUGAUCAUGGUCCUUUCUUAACUGUCCGAUGGUACUUAUUUGCCCCUCACCAGAAAUUCACAUAAUAAUAUAUUUUCAAUAUGAGGUGAGGCUUCCUGAUGUGGAAUUUUACAUCAAUGUGGGAGACAGGCCAAUGGAAACAAGGAAGCAGAUGACAUUCCCGGGGCUGUUCCAAUCAUCUCCUGGUGCGGUUCCACAGACACCAUCCUCCCCACCUAUGACAACACUCACUCCACCCUGGAGACCCAGUGACAUUUCCAGUGACCUGCUGUCAGUCCAGGGCAACACAGGGGAAUGAUGAUGAAGUACAAGCGAUAGCAAAGCAGGCCAGACGAUUGUACGACAGCUCGUACAACCUAACAGAUUCUACUGUUACUAUUACAGUGUGCUUACAGAUGUACUCUGAGCGUCAGACCAACCAGCCCACACUGCAUCCAGACAUGAAGCGGGUUCCCCAGCCAUCCGACCAGAGUGCCCUUUGCAGCUGUCAGCAAGAGCCUCAAAGAGAUGAUCCCAGCCUGGAGAAGGAUGAACUCUGAUCAACACUGAAAAGAAAGGGAAGAGACACUAGCUAUUUCAAUACAGAAAGUGCCUUGGACUUCUGCUUGCUUGUUGAUUGAGAUUCUAUGCAAUGAAGAAGUACUGUGUGACCAGGACUGCUUAGUGGAUGUACCAACACUCAUAUAGACGAUCAAAUAUUAAAUGUGGUUUGAGCCAAACAGACCUUGUCACAGCUCACUUUACUGGGCCUGGAAUAUGACUGUUUUAUUGACAAGACCAUUAUGCAGAAGCAUCUCAUUUCACUGACCUGAGUGAUAUUGCCAUAUAGAUUGGUUUCUUUUUGGACUCUUCUAAAGCCACUAUGAUUGUGCAAUUAAAUGACCUAUUUACUUCGAUGUAUUGUUGUGAAAAAAAUACAAUCGUAUUGAAACAUUGAUGGACGACCAGAAAUGUCUUUAACUAGGGCUCAAAUUCACACGUGCCAUAAAACAAAAAAGAGGGGGCACCCGGAUUUGAACCGGGGACCUCUUGAUCUGCAGUCAAAUGCUCUACCACUGAGCUAUACCCCCUUCUGUUCGUUAAGGGGAAUGUUUUAGAAUAUAUAGCUACGUGUGUCACAGUUCAGCAAUGACAAUCUUUUGAUUGUAAUAUUAAUAUUGACUUCACUUUCGACUGCUUGUGAUUAGAUUUCCUAGACAACGUACUUUGGUUUUAGCUGUAGUCAAUAGUUACAGUUAAGAGAUAAACCAAGUAGCUAUCUAGCAGGAAGCUAGUAGUAGCACAGAUAGCAGACAUUUUGGUUGAAGCUAGCGGCUCAGAGCCUUGGCACCAUGACCGGAAGUACUGUAACGUUAGCCAGCCAGCGCUAUUGAAUGAAUAGACAGCAGCCUUUUUACAAUAUGGCCAAUUUUGCAACUGUGAUAAUUAGUGGUAAUCAUGGUGCGUAUUUCAAGUAGUUUGCUAGCGUUGUUAUUUACAAUUAUUCGAACCCAGUGCCAUAUAGCAUAUUACUAUACAAAACACGUAACAUAUUGACCCCAUUUUGAGAGGUCAACGACAAUGUUGCAGUUAGCUAUCUAGCUAGAAUUGUCGUGGACUAUAUGCACAACUAAAGGACAUUGUUCCAGUCACAGGUCUAUGUCCCCAAGAGGGACCUUAUGGUGUACAGGACACGCUCCGAAGCAGGUUUUCCAGCGUGAGGAAUGAGCAGCUCCCCAGUUAUCCACAGGAACUCUUAGAGAAAAAAAUUAGACUUGCUGGUUUAAAAUGGGCCGGUGCCCUACCCACACUGGCCCUACCUACUCACAAACACACAUACAGUGCCUUCAGAAAGUAUUCACACCCCUUGCAUUUUUUCACAUUUAGUUGUUACAAAGUGGGAUUAAAAUUUAUUUAAUUGUCAUUUUUUGUCAAGGACCCACACAACAUACUCUGUAAUGUAAAAGUGGAAGAAACUAAAAAUAUAUAUUUUUAAAUGCUUAUAUAUCUAGAUUAGAUGUGGGUCAUUGGCAUGGGUCCCCAGAUUCUCAAAAGGUUCUACAGCUGCGCCAUUGAGAGCAUCCUGACCUGUUGCAUCACCGCUAGGUAUGGCAACUGC